GAAUUCUUUGCUAAGACAAGUCUCUAGUCUCUUGAGGAGAUUACCAGCUAUUGAAUCUGAGAAAUUUCAGGAUGAUUUCUUAAUGGAAUAUAAUGACACACUAUUGAUUAGUUAUCUGGCAAUGUUCACGGAUUGCUCAAGCACAAUGAAUGAUGUGGUUGAUAAAAUCAACAUUGCAUAUGAUAGGCAUAGUCGAAGGGGAGGACGUACUGCAUUCAUCUGAAUACACUUUUGAGUUUUUUUUUUUGUUAAAAAAAAAAGAGUUAAAAUCGUAUUGAUUGCUUUUGUGAAAAUUAAGAAUCGUGGAUCACAACCCUUCAAAAAGUGCAUGCCAUUGUUAUUUUAGGUUUAAUUUUGUUAUUGCGUUUGGUUGUAAAAUUGCAUGGAAUUGGAUUCCAUCAAAAUGCAAAGAAAGAAAGAAAUACACUCUUUGAUGGAUUUCAAAAAUCAUUCUUAAUUACUAU